AUGAACGCUAGCUACAAGGCUUAACACAUGCAAGUCAGGGGCAGCAGGAUUGUGCUUGCACAGAUUGCUGGCGACCGGCGCACGGGUGAGUAACGCGUAUCCAACCUUCCCCAUAGUAGAGGAUAGCCCGGCGAAAGUCGGAUUAAUACUCUAUGUUGUGUCAUGAGGACAUCUGAAUAACACUAAAGAUUUAUCGCUAUGGGAUGGGGAUGCGUCUGAUUAGCUUGUGGCGGGGUAACGGCCCACCAAGGCGACGAUCAGUAGGGGUUCUGAGAGGAAGGUCCCCCACAUUGGUACUGAGACACGGACCAAACUCCUACGGGAGGCAGCAGUGAGGAAUAUUGGUCAAUGGGCGCGAGCCUGAACCAGCCAAGUAGCGUGCAGGAAUGACUGCCCUAUGGGUUGUAAACUGCUUUUAUCAGGGAAUAAAGUGAGGCCACGUGUGCCUUUUUGUAUGUACCUGAUGAAUAAGGACCGGCUAAUUCCGUGCCAGCCGCCGC
rnacentral:rRNA from 1 species